GAGGAGGAAUCGGAUACUUCUGCCGUUUGCCAAUGGCAACAGAGACCGUCACGCAUUUCUUUUGAGGCCUGGGCUGAUAUAUCACAUCAACUCAUCAAAUCAAUUUUACUGUCAAUCACAUCAUAUGGACACAGGAAUAAGAAACACUGGAGGAGAGAAUAAAAAAGCCAGAUCAACGACGUAUACAAGCCCAGGCUCCACUCAG